rnacentral:lncRNA from 1 species
ACCAUCCCGGGUGACCCCGACCUCCCAGCACGCGGGACGGGCCCGCGCCCGGACUCACCCAGAGGCCGCAGAUUCCCCAGAGUAACAGCUUGUCCCACCUCAAGGCUCUUUGCUUAGGAAGAAAGCAAAGAAUAGAACCUGCAAGAUGGCCUGUUCACUUUCCAAUUCUGGUGGCCUGAGUUUGAUCCCCAAGACCCACAUGGUCUUGCCUCAGCACGUGCAUCCAAUCAGCCAGCGUCCUCAGAAGCAACAAGAAACUGCAGCACACACAGCUUUUGGUGCAUCUCUCUCUAGAGUCCCAGCAAAUGCAGCUCAACUACGCAAUGUAAGGCGGACCAAUACAUGCGCGUUGUUAGCAAA